CCUACGGGGGGCAGCAGUGGGGAAUAUUGCACAAUGGGGGAAACCCUGAUGCAGCGACGCCGCGUGAGUGAAGAAGUACUUCGUUAUGUAAAGCUCUAUCAGCAGGGAAGAAAAUGACGGUACCUGAGUACGAAGCCCCGGGUAACUACGUGCCAGCAGCCGCGGUAAUACGGAGGAUGCGCGGGUAAUCCGAAUUUAUUGGGUUAAAAGGGUGCGGAGGCGGAAGGUUAAGUCAGUGGUAAAAGGGCGGUGCUCAACACCGGCCUGCCGUUGAAACUGGCCUGCUUGAGUGUGCGAGAGGUAGGCGGAAUGCGUGGUGUAGCGGUGAAAUGCAUAGAUAUCACGCAGAACUCCGAUUGCGAAGGCAGCAGACCGGCGCUAAACUGACGCUGAGGCACGAAAGCGUGGGGAUCGAACAGGAUUAGAUACCCGUGUAGUC
rnacentral:rRNA from 1 species